rnacentral:rRNA from 1 species
GAUGAACGCUGGCGGCGUGCUUAACACAUGCAAGUCGAACGAUGAAGCCCAGCUUGCUGGGUGGAUUAGUGGCGAACGGGUGAGUAACACGUGAGUAACCUGCCCUUAACUCUGGGAUAAGCCUGGGAAACUGGGUCUAAUACCGGAUAGGAGCGUCCACCGCAUGGUGGGUGUUGGAAAGAUUUAUCGGUUUUGGAUGGACUCGCGGCCUAUCAGCUUGUUGGUGAGGUAAUGGCUCACCAAGGCGACGACGGGUAGCCGGCCUGAGAGGGUGACCGGCCACACUGGGACUGAGACACGGCCCAGACUCCUACGGGAGGCAGCAGUGGGGAAUAUUGCACAAUGGGCGCAAGCCUGAUGCAGCGACGCCGCGUGGGGGAUGACGGCCUUCGGGCUGUAAACCUCUUUCAGUAGGGAAGAAGCGAAAGUGACGGUACCUGCAGAAGAAGCACCGGCUAACUACGUG